ACCUUCUACCGGUUCGCACAAUGCUGGUUGAGCAAUGUCAACCACUGAGGCCUUCAUCACGGCAAAACCAUGAGCAACAAUGCACCUACGAGAAGAUGGAGUACAGUUUGCAGGACCACACCUAUGGAGUGGGAACGACUCAAAUGGCCUUUAUAUUUGUCAAACAGGAGUCUUAUGAUUCUUCUCAGUUGGUCCUGAAGCAGGAGGAAACUGAGGCCCCGGUCAGUGGGCUAGACUUGAGUGACAAAUCAGGUUCACCACAAGCCUCUGUUUUUGCAGCUGAGAAUGAAGGCAUCCUGGAACCCUAUUUAGGAAGGGAGAGAGAUCUACAAGGAGCCCAGAAGCAAUCGCCUGAAUUGGGGAAUUCACUAGUCCUUUCAUUCGCUGAAACAAAAGACAAUUUAGAAGAUUCUGAGUUCAUACAGAUGGAUCGACUCAUAACAACUGAAAAACAUCCAUUGGUAGUUGCACAUCAGCAGUCAGAGGUUGCAACACUCGAAAAAGAGCAACCAUCUGGGAAAUCCCAACAAAGUGACAGAGAGGGCAAAGUGUCAGUAGGUGAACCGGCUGGUGUUUCUCAGCAACAUUGUGUAGGUGGGAAAUCUACAGAAGAACAACUGUCACUGCCUACGUCGCUCAAUACAGGAGAAACAUGUGAACAAUUAAAAAGUGGUGUGGCACAGAUUGGGGGUAGUCUCAAACUUGAGUGGGCACAACACAGAAGAGGACGACCAUCCAAGAAAGCUAAACUUAUGCAGCAUCCAGUAAAAGAAAUUGGAAAUUCGCUCACUGUUUCAGAAACAACUUUAAGUAAAAUAUGUUUCUCUGAAAAAGAGAAACCAUCUGAAUCUCAACAUAAUUCCAUGGCAAGUGAAGAAGGGGCAAUUAAGCCCCCAUUCAAUGAAGUUCUAUCUGCAAAUGAAACCUUAAACCUUUCAAAUAUUCAGCCCCCGGAACGCUGCACCUCUGUUACCCUUCAGGAUGCAAUACUCUUGGUUGAAGCCAUGAAUCAGUCAACAGAAAAAGACACAUUGACCACCAUAAUACAAACGGCAGCACCACCUCAAACCCAGUUUGCACUCUGUGCGUGUGCUUUAGAAACCGUGGACGAGAUUCCGGCAGAGAAAACCCAAUUGGUAAAAAAUAAAAUUGGUAUCGCUCCUGUGGCAUCACAUGCUAAUGAAGCUCAAUGCCACAUCAACGUGGUAACUGCAAAAGAAUCGCACACAGUUACUCCAUCCAAUACAACCACGCCAUCAACUACUGCGGUAAAAAGAAGUGUACCGUCACCGCAGCAGCACCUUCCCUGCCCUUCGGUAACAUUUUUGGUACCCAGCAAUCAUGAUCAGGCGGUGUCUUAUAAAAUAGUUUCCCAGCCAGGAUCAGUAUCCUCAUUAAUUUGCCAUAAAAUAGAGGCACUGUUGCCACCCCAGCUUCCUUCUGUUGUUUCAGUUGUUGCUGCACAGAAAAGUGCUGCACUGCCGCGCUUUACAGCAGAAACCUCCUCAAUUUCCUCCGAUCCUCAGAAAUCUACACAAAUUACGUCCAGGAAAUUAUUCCCUCCUGUCCUUUCACAGUCAACCACCACCUCGACUGACCUGCAGUCAGGGACUACAGCACGUCCAAAAAUAAGAAUUGGACUUCAGAGACCGGUGUCAAAGACAAUUGUUCAGACAUCCAAGCAAGAUUCCACGAAAUCUGACGCUUUUAUGGUUUCCUCGCCGCAGUUCAUUCCUUCAUCCAAGGACAUAAGCAUUUUUGUGGACACUCAAACUAUUUUAGAUAAAGUAUCUGCAAUAUCGUCUAAGAAAAAGUAUCAAACUUUGCGCAACUUAGAAAUUCCAAAACAAACUGCCCCGGUUUCUGAACUGGUAAAUGCAGUUACACAGACCUGUUCCAGUUCAAACCUGUCCGAUAAGCUAAAGCCAACCCCAGUGUCUGUUGAAAACAACCUCACUGCAGUGGUCAGACUGACGAGACUGCCAUUUCCCAUAUCGGCCAACGAAGCAGUCUUGGUUUCAAGACUUCGUAUCGAUGGAUCUAGUGGAAGUCAAUCCGUUUUGAAAGAAAAGACACAAGGGGAACAUUCCCCGCCACCAUCUCAGACGCAUGGUUUAUCCGCCGACGAUUGUACCAAUUUGAAAGAAACAUCUGUUGCUAUAAUUGCAAAUACCUCGCAGAUGUCCAAAGAGCCAGAUGAAAUUCAAGAAACUGCAUCAUUAUCCUUUGAAAACUGCACCUUUUUGGAUGAAGAUCCAGCUGACAGCAGGCUAUCAACAACAAUCAAGACUGAACAGUCUGCUGAAAAUUGCACAGCAGUUGAAUCGGCUUCUUAUUCUAAUUGGGAGAUGAUUAGCAUUGCAAUGCAAGACAGGGCAUCAUCUAACGGCCCACGCAUGGCUGAGAAGGGAUCUGUUGCUGUUGUGCAUCUGACCCCCAUCACCAGCAAGAAUAUAUCUGACCUUCAUUUGAAGAUGACUAAAGCCCAGUUCCUGACACAGCUGGCAGUGACACCUGCACCGGAAGACCCCAAAAAGGUAAACAUUUCUUAGGUGAAAAGCAAUAUAAGGCUUUUGGGUCUUUACUUUGUUAAACAUAAACUCAUUCGUUUUGUAUAGAUAUUCAAGGUUAAUUUGUCAUUAUGCUUCUUUUUAUAGGUUUCCUCUAAUGACUCAGUAAAAGCCGCAGCUGCAGAAACGAGCCCCAGUAAAAAGAAGGAAUUACAGAAAAAAUCCCUUGUGGCCCGACUUCAAAGUCAUCUCAAAACUUGCCUGCAAACUAGAAGAACUAAAACUAAUUCAGAACCAUGCACAGCAACGAAGACCUGCACUGUGUCUCCUAAAAGGUGUGUCAUUGAGAAUGGAAAUCCAAAAAGUAAAGACGGAACUAGAGACCCUUUUCCCAUCUGCCCAAAGGACUCAGGAGCCGUUGAUACAAUUCCCAAAAAAAUUAGAUUAACUCCUGUUAAUCUAAGGAGAUCUGGAGCCUGCGAAGCAGGAAUUGGAACCAAGAAGACUGUUGCUGAACCGUCUUUAAUCAGUUCUACGACAUUUAAGGCUACUAGGAAAUCGGCUGCUGUGACUCCCAGGAGGUCUAGUUCAGGUACACAUAGUGUACGCCUGACACCAAGAAAAUCCACUUCGGUGAGUCGCAGGGAGUCUACAGCAACGGAAAAAAGUGCUAGUCCUAAAAAGUCAAAACCCACUUCAGUAAAUCCAAGGAGGUCUAGCUCAAUUAAAGAAAGGGAAAGCCCUAAAAAGACUAAAUCCAUUUCGGUAAGUCCGAGGAGGUCUAGCUCAAUUAACAAAAUGGAAAGCCCAAAAAAGACAAAAUCCACUCUGAGCUCUAAAAAUAUCAAAAACAUUUCUGCGUCGCCAAGGUGGAUUCAUUCAACGACAGAUUGUGCUCGCCCUAAAAGUACCGGCCCGAAACGGUCUAUUGAUGAAUCAACUACUUUCUGCCGUAGGAGAUGUACCUUACCGAAAGAUGGUUCAAGCAGUAAACCAAAUAACAGAGAAUCUAUUUCCUUCAGUCCUAGUUAUAGCAUAACUCCAGACCGGUCUAGCAAUAAAGACACUAAAAGUGUAACAGGUUCGUCAAGUGUUAGGUGGCCUAAAUCGGUUAAAAAUGGUGUCAGCCCUAGAAAUACGCGGGAAACUGCUACUGCUAAGAAACCCAGAUUAUUGCUUGAUGGUAGUGGUCCAAAACAGAAAUUAAUGUUUGAUGCGGAGGAGUUGGCUAAUGUGGAAAAACCCAAGACGGUAGCCAAUUUGAAAAAUUGUAGUCAGUCAAAAUUGCUGAAUGGAUCAAAAACUGGCCAAUUAGCGGAGAGUCGUGCAAGCUGUGAGACGGGGAGAAAAUGUACAGCCAAAGUUGUGUGGAUCCAUCCCAGACCUUCGGUCAGUAAGACUCCUCUGGUGGGGGUGAAUAAAGAGCCGUCUUCACCCAGAUUGCAGAGUCACAUGUUAGUUUACCCCCCGAGUGUUUCUCUCCUCCCCAUACCUGUCCGAGGGCCACCGAUUGUAUCUCCAUUACAGCCGUUAUCAGUCAUUGGUAGGCGACUGCUUAAGAACCAGUGUGGCGAGUGUGGCCGGGUCCUCAGCAGCGCCGCUGCCCUGGAAAGCCAUGUCAGUCUCCACGCGGGUCGCCGACCCUUCUCGUGCACGCUGUGUGGGAAGAGGUUCCCAGACUCAGGAGGUCUUAAACGGCAUAGCAGGGUGCAUCGCAAUGGGAGGAUCCAUAUCUGUCAUCAGUGCGGGAAGGGCUUUGUCUACAGCUUUGGCCUCACCAAACACCUCCAUAUGGUGCACAGGAAGAUUAAACCUUUCAUCUGCCAGAUUUGCAACAAAGGUUUCUUUGCAAAACGUGAUGUGGAAGCUCACAUACGGAUUCACACAGGAGAGAAACCAUUCCACUGCACCCUCUGUGAAAAAAAAUUUGCUAGGAGGGUGGAUCUAAAUGUGCAUUUAAGGUGGCAUAAUGGGGAGAAGAGAUACUGGUGCCCAUUCUGUGGGAAAGGAUUUUUAGACUCCAACAACCUGAAAAGGCACAAGUAUAUCCACACAGGUGAGAAACCAUAUUCCUGUCCCCACUGUCCCAAGAGCUUCUCACAGUCAGGCCAUCUGAAAAAGCAUGUCAAAAAUGUACAUAAAAUACAAUGAAAAACUACCACCGUUCCAGUGAGAAUAUGAAUGUAUUCAGGAAGAGAGAUAUACGUGUGUAAUGUGAGAAUACUCGUAAGAAUCUGAUGUACCUGUCAAAAGUUUGGACACAUUUUCUCUAUUUUAGUUUUUCUUUUAUUUCUUUUGGGCUCUGUAAGCUCAUUCCCUGGUAUAGAACAGCGGAGACGCGAAUGACUAUUUCUGACCAUGUUGUAACCCCCACCUGGUAUGUAAAAAAUGUUGCUGUACACGUUUUUAUCACUUGGAUUUUUAAAUAUAUUUUGAUUUGUCAAGUCUACAACUAUCAUACCUAAAAUGGUAGCAUACAACUAUUAUCAAAAAGGCCCCCGCUUCACCCUUUUUUUGUGCUAGGACAUUUAAAACACCUGCAACAUGCAGUCAAUGCAUUUAAAGAAUAGGCAUAUGUUGUUUACUUACUUAUACAUUUUAUAUAUUUAUAUUUCAUUUUUUUUAAUGGCAUUUCCUUUUUUUUUUUUUUAAGAAAAAGGGCACCAUGGUUACAUUUUUAUGUUGUUGCUUUUAUCGAACACCUAAAACAAGAAUGAUUAAGGUUUACGCUGGACAUGAAAUAAAUUUGGCCAAUUGGACUGUUUAACGUGCUUAAUCCCCAGGAAGCCAAUGAAUGUAACUGCAGUCGUCAUACGGCUUGGAAUGAGCACAAAACCUUUACUGAAGUUCAUAGGGCUUAUUUCGUAGGCAUAUUUUGGCUUCAGUUGAUCUGUUCCCUUUAUUUUUCCUUUGUAACAGCUUUAGGGGUAAGCUGUGAUGUUAAAAGGUGAGCCAGUCAGCUCUUUUGCUGUCAUUAUGUCUAAUGUUCUGCUGAGACUAAUAUAAUUGUGUUGCUUUGGUAAAUCCUGUUUCCGUCUUGUUUUUUCCCAAAGCGCGUACUAUGUUUAAACAAUUGUUAGAUGUCAAACUAUUCUGCUUUCUGAACAAUAACAAUUUUUUUUUUGGGGGGGGUAAGACCGUAGUGAAGGACAAUGCAUUGUUGGGGAUAACGUUACUGUGAGACAAGUGCAACUAGUUGUUAUAUUGCUUGGAGUUUAUUUCUUCCAAGUCAAAGAGUCUUGCUUAAUGAUAAUUUUCAACACCAGAAUGUUUCUUACCAAAGCAUCCAGCUUUUUAAUGUUUUUAUAUAGUAACAUUUUGUAAAACAUAGGUCUGCAGUCAUGAUCUUAGCAUUACAUGGCCAUCACCAAAAUGUAGUUUAUUCAAAAUUAUGUUUUUGAUAACGUCUGCUGGCUGAAACACAGUAACCUAACUUAACCUCGUCAAAACCUUAAAACAAAGGCAGACACCAGGAAGCACAAACACAGUGGCAGCGAGGCAGGUAAGGUGGGAGGGCCUGCAGAGCGUACAAUGGAGUGAUAGCACUUGCCCACAUUUUCAAAUUUAUCUACAGCUACAAACUCAACAAUCUGUGAGCAGCAGGAUGCUGUGUAGUUGGCCUGAAUGAUGGGAUCACUCAGCAAGGUGGUUGUGAGGUUUCCACUGCCCUGGGUUAGGGACACGCUCGCUACUCCGGUGCCAUUUCCGUCUGAGAGGGUGGCUGUUAGUUUCCACUUGAAAGGGUCACACUGAGACACAUCGCGAGGGCAAUCAUCAGCCAUCACA
ensembl:lncRNA